UAAUACGUAGGGUGCAAGCGUUGUCCGGAAUUAUUGGGCGUAAAGAGCUCGUAGGCGGUUUGUCGCGUCUGCUGUGAAAUCCCGAGGCUCAACCUCGGGCCUGCAGUGGGUACGGGCAAACUAGAGUGUGGUAGGGGAGAUUGGAACUCCUGGUGUAGCGGUGGAAUGCGCAGAUAUCAGGAAGAACACCGAUGGCGAAGGCAGAUCUCUGGGCCAUUACUGACGCUGAGGAGCGAAAGCGUGGGGAGCAAACAGG
rnacentral:rRNA from 1 species